UACGUAGGGGGCGAGCGUUGUCCGGAAUGAUUGGGCGUAAAGGGCGUGUUGGCGGCCCGGUAAGUCUGGAGUGAAAGUCCUGCUUUCAAGGUGGGAAUUGCUUUGGAUACUGCUGGGCUUGAGUGCAGGAGAGGUUAUCGGAAUUCCCGGUGUAGCGGUGAAAUGCGUAGGGAUCGGGAGGAACACCAGUGGCCAAGGCGGGUAACUGGACUGCAACUGACGCUGAGGCGCGAAAGUGUGGGGAGCAAAC
rnacentral:rRNA from 1 species